AUUGAACGCUGGCGGCAGGCCUAACACAUGCAAGUCGAACGGUAACAGAAAGCAGCUUGCUGCUUUGCUGACGAGUGGCGGACGGGUGAGUAAUGUCUGGGAAACUGCCUGAUGGAGGGGGAUAACUACUGGAAACGGUAGCUAAUACCGCAUAACGUCGCAAGACCAAAGAGGGGGACCUUCGGGCCUCUUGCCAUCGGAUGUGCCCAGAUGGGAUUAGCUAGUAGGUGGGGUAACGGCUCACCUAGGCGACGAUCCCUAGCUGGUCUGAGAGGAUGACCAGCCACCCUGGAACUGAGACACGGUCCAGACUCCUACGGGAGGCAGCAGUGGGGAAUAUUGCACAAUGGGCGCAAGCCUGAUGCAGCCAUGCCGCGUGUAUGAAGAAGGCCUUCGGGUUGUAAAGUACUUUCAGCGGGGAGGAAGGGAGUAAAGUUAAUACCUUUGCUCAUUGACGUGACCCGCAGAAGAAGCACCGGCUAACUCCG
rnacentral:rRNA from 1 species